AUUGAACGCUGGCGGCAGGCCUAACACAUGCAAGUCGAGCGGAGCGGCGGACGGGCGAGUAAUUCCUAGGAAUCUGCCUGGCCGUGGUGGAUGACGUCCGGAAACGGGCGCUAAUACCGCAUAUUCUCUGUGGAGCGUAGGUCGGAUUAGCUAGUUGGUGUGGUAAAGGCCUACCUAGGCGACCAUCCGUAAAUGGUUUGAGAGGAUGAUCAGUCAAACUGGAACUGAGAAACGGUGCAGACUCCUACGGGAGGCAGCAGUGGGGAAUAUUGGACUAUGGGCGAAAGCCUGAUCCAGCCAUGCCGCGUGUGUGAAGAAGGUAUUAGGGUUGUAAAGUACUUUAAGUUGGGAGGCGUUACCAACAGAAUAAGCACCGGCUAACUUCGUGCCAGCAGCCGCGGUAAUAC
rnacentral:rRNA from 1 species